UUUGUUUAUUAUUUAUAGAGUUUCGAUUUGUUUAUAAAAUACUUGGACCAACAGAAAGGAUCUAAUUUCCUUUGUACGGCCUCGGACUUUCACUUUCUCUAUUUCCUGUACACUACUGACGUCGUACACCUCCGGCCGCAUUUAUCCGAAUUGUGUAAAGCCGUCAAAGAGCAAGACAGACUAGGAGCUGAGAGAUGGCGGGCUGGGGAAUGGUGGCAACACGUUGAGCAGCUGAUCAUAGCCUCUUCUAUGCCCUCUCCAAUGGCUGAUAUGAGAGGGCCAUUGUUUCCCACACACUCUUCACUAGAGGAGCAAGGACAGGCAAUGAAUGAUGGGCACAAGAAAACGGAGGGAAAUGGAGCAGCUGUGUCUGUCACUGGAGAGCAGUGGUCCUGUCAAUACUGUACACUACAUAAUGAAAUGACUUCGACUGUUUGUAACGCGUGUGGUCUGCCUAGAAACUAAUAAAUAUAUUGUAGUACAUAAUCAUAAAGACACCAGUAUUAUUAUUAUUAAUUAAUUGAUUUUGUUAAUAAAAGGGAAGAGAGAGAUACAAAAACUA